AAAAAAAAAAAAAAAAAAAAAAAAAAAAAGGAAAAACCGAAGCUGAUUGUAGGUAGACAGAGGGAGAUGGGGCAAUGCUGUGGUAGUUUGGACGGAGCUAAAAAAGAACAGAAAAAAGAAGAAGAGAGAUUAGCCUCCGCAGAAGUUCGUGCUAAAGCUGCCGAAGCAGCCCAGAAACGGCAAGAGCAGUAUGAAAAGUCUGCUGCAGGAAGAGCUGCACGGGCACAACUAGUGGGGGCAGCAAAGCAAUCUGCCAAUCCAAACAAAGGCAAACCGGUUUUACAGUGGCAGAUGGGCUGAAGCAAUGCAAUGUGGCUAUCUAGCAACUCUUCAAUGUGAGUUGUGAAUGUUAUAAUUAUUGUAUAGGAAUUUCCUCUGCUUGCUGGUUUCGCUUGUACGGAAAGAAGUCCAGAUUUCUAAUGCAAAACAUCUUUCCAGUAAUAAAACUGUACUCCGGUCUUUUUUAAUAUUGUACUCUGGUCUUUUUAAUUAAUAAAUAAAACUGUAAAUGAUUUGUCUUGCAAAUUA